rnacentral:rRNA from 1 species
AUUGAACGCUGGCGGCAGGCCUAACACAUGCAAGUCGAACGAGUGGCGGACGGGUGAGUAAUGUCUGGGAAACGGCCUGAUGGAGGGGGAUAACUACUGGAAACGGGAGCUAAUCCCGCAUACUGUAGGAUGUGCGCAGCGGGGAUUAGCUAGUAGGUGGGGGAGAGGCUCCCCUAGGCGACGAUGCCUAGCUGGUCUGAGAGGAUGACCAGCGACACUGGAACUGAGACACGGUCCAGCGUCCUACGGGAGGCAGCAGUGGGGAAUAUUGCACAAUGGGCGCAAGGCUGAUGCAGCCAUGCCGCGUGUAUGAAGAAGGCCUUCGGGUUGUAAAGUACUUUCAGCGGGGAGGCGUUACCCGCAGAAGAAGCACCGGCUAACUCCGUGCCAGCAGCCGCGGUAAUUC